rnacentral:rRNA from 1 species
UUGGCUCAGGAUGAACGCUGGCGGCAGGCUUAACACAUGCAAGUCGAACGGAAUAUAGUGUGCUUGCACAUUAUAUCAGUGGCGCACGGGUGAGUAGCGCGUAGGUAUCUGUCUGUUGGAGUUGGAUAGCUUCUGGAAACGGAAGGUAAAACAGCAUAAGCCCUGAGGGGGAAAGUAAUAAGAUUAGCCGAUAGAGGAGCCUGCGUUAGAUUAGGCAGUUGGUGGGGUAAUGGCCUACCAAACCGACGAUCUAUAGCUGGUCUGAGAGGAUGAUCAGCCACAUUGGGACUGAGACACGGCCCAGACUCCUACGGGAGGCAGCAGUGGGGAAUA